UGGCCUAACACAUGCAAGUCGAGCGGUAGCGGGAAGAGCUUGCUCUUUGCCGACGAGCGGCGGACGGGUGCGUAACACGUAGGAAUCUGCCCGGUAGUGGGGGAUAGCCCGGAGAAAUCCGGAUUAAUACCGCAUACGCACCAGCUCUUUAUGAGCGGUGGAAAGCAGGGGAUCAGCUUGCUGACCUUGCGCUAUCGGAUGAGCCUGCGUCGGAUUAGCUUGUUGGUGGGGUAAAGGCCUACCAAGGCGACGAUCCGUAGCUGGUCUGAGAGGAUGAUCAGCCACACUGGGACUGAGACACGGCCCAGACUCCUACGGGAGGCAGCAGUGGGGAAUAUUGCACAAUGGGCGCAAGCCUGAUGCAGCCAUGCCGCGUGUGUGAAGAAGGCCCUAGGGUUGUAAAGCACUUUCAGUGGGGAGGAAAAGUUGAAGGUUAAUACCCUUUGGCUGUGACGUUACCCACAGAAGAAGCACCGGCUAACUCCGUGCCAGCAGCCGCGGUAAUACGGAGGGUGCGAGCGUUAAUCGGAAUUACUGGGCGUAAAGCGUGCGUAGGCGGCCACCUAAGUUGGAUGUGAAAGCCCCGGGCUCAACUUGGGAACUGCAUCCAAAACUGGGUGGCUGGAGUACGGGAGAGGAGUGUGGAAUUU
rnacentral:rRNA from 1 species